GUAGAUAUGGUGAUAUGGUCCCAAACACAAUAACUGGUAAAAUAGUCGGUGGUGUGUGUUCCCUGAGUGGUGUAUUGGUUAUUGCAUUACCAGUGCCUGUAAUUGUUUCAAAC
rfam:Octopus bimaculoides Scaffold16979_contig_24, whole genome shotgun sequence.